rnacentral:rRNA from 1 species
GGCGCACGGGUGCGUAACGCGUAUGCAAUCUACCUUUUACAGAGGGAUAGCCCAGAGAAAUUUGGAUUAAUACCUCAUAGUAUAGUGAGUUGGCAUCAACACACUAUUAAAGUCACAACGGUAAAAGAUGAGCAUGCGUCCCAUUAGCUAGUUGGUAAGGUAACGGCUUACCAAGGCAACGAUGGGUAGGGGUCCUGAGAGGGAGAUCCCCCACACUGGUACUGAGACACGGACCAGACUCCUACGGGAGGCAGCAGUGAGGAAUAUUGGUCAAUGGGCGCAAGCCUGAACCAGCCAUGCCGCGUGCAGGAUGACGGUCCUAUGGAUUGUAAACUGCUUUUGCACAGGAAGAAACACUCGGUCGUGACCGAGCUUGACGGUACUGUGAGAAUAAGGAUCGGCUAACUCCGUGCCAGCAGCCGCGGUAAUACGGAGGAUCCAAGCGUUAUCCG